AGCGCAGGUGGUUUAUUAAGUCUGGUGUAAAAGGCAGUGGCUCAACCAUUGUAUGCAUUGGAAACUGGUAGACUUGAGUGCAGGAGAGGAGAGUGGAAUUCCAUGUGUAGCGGUGAAAUGCGUAGAUAUAUGGAGGAACAUCGGUGGCGAAAGCGGCUCUCUGGCCUGUAACUGACACUGAGGCUCGAAAGCGUGGGGAGCAAACA
rnacentral:rRNA from 1 species